UGGGGAAUAUUGCACAAUGGGCGAAAGCCUGAUGCAGCAACGCCGCGUGAGUGAUGAAGGCCUUCGGGUUGUAAAGCUCUGUCUUCUGGGACGAUAAUGACGGUACCAGAGGAGGAAGCCACGGCUAACUACGUGCCAGCAGCCGCGGUAAUACGUAGGUGGCAAGCGUUGUCCGGAUUUACUGGGCGUAAAGGAUGCGUAGGCGGAUACUUAAGUCAGAUGUGAAAAUCCCGGGCUUAACUUGGGAACUGCAUUUGAAACUGGGUAUCUAGAGUGCGGGAGAGGAAAGUGGAAUGCCUAGUGUAGCGGUGAAAUGCGUAGAGAUUAGGAAGAACACCAGUGGCGAAGGCGACUUUCUGGACCGUAACUGACGCUGAGGCAUGAAAGCGUGGGGAGCAAACA
rnacentral:rRNA from 1 species